CCAGGUUUAGGCGGAGGCCUGAAGCAGCAGCAACCAGGUGGCGCAGCACAGAAUGGCUUUGGACCAGGCUAUGGAGGGAACGGAAAGCCCCAGAAGCCAGGAUUCGGGAACGGGGCCCUCCCGGGAGCAGGAGCCCAGCCAGG